rnacentral:ncRNA from 1 species
GCUUGGUUGGAUUGAGCCUUGGUUGGAAACCUACUAAGUGGUAACUUCCAAAUUCAGAGAAACCCUGGAAUUAAAAAUGGGCAAUCCUGAGCCAAAUCUUUAUUUUGAGAAAACAAGGGUUUAUAAAACUAGAAUAAAAAAAGGAUAGGUGCAGAGACUCAAUGGAAGCUGUUCUAACGAAUGGAGUUGACUACGUUGUGUUGGUAGCUGGAAUUCCUCUAUCGAAAUUACAGAAAGGACAGCCCUAUAUAUCUAAUACGUACGUAUACAUACUAACAUAUCAAACGAUUAAUCACGACCCGAAUCUAUCGAAUAUAUAUAUAUUUCAUAUAUAUAUAUAUGAAAAUAUGAAAGAAAAAAUUCAGAGUUAUUGUGAAUCCAUUCCAAUCGAAGUUGAAGGAAGAAUCGAAUAUUCAGUGAUCAAAUCAUUCAUUCCAGAGUUUGAUAGAUCUUUUGAAAAACUGAUUAAUCGGACGAGAAUAAAGAGAGAGUCCCGUUCUACAUGUCAAUAUCGACAACAAUGAAAUUUAUAGUAAGAGGAAAAUCCGUCGACUUUAGAAAUCGUGAGGGUUCAAGUCCCUCUAUCCCCA